UCCUAGCAAUUUUCUUGAUUUUGAGGUCAGAAGGUCAAAGGUGAAGUUGCCAUCUUCCACUUUUCUUGCUUGACCAAUCAGUCAGACCGCAGCUCGCGCGAUAAUGAGCAUAUUCACGAAGAUUUAUUCAGCGGCCCUCUAGCGGUCUCCGAAGGAAAACGUGUGAUCAAUUUGGCUUGAUUUUCCCAGUGAUUUGGAGGGGCUGAAGUUAUAGCUCUGUACUGGUCGCUAACUUCAGUUUACGUCGAAACGAAUUGUGAUCUGCACACUUGCUGACUCUGGUCCCUGCUCGCUACUUCAUUCUGGGAGAUGAUCCAUCAUGUACUGGUCGGACUGAUUUGGACAAAGCCAUUUUUCGUUUGCAAAUUUUGAAGUGAUAAUGAUACAAGUAACAGAAAGUUGAUCUUUAUCGAUAUUGGAAACAAGAAAAUUCGAGCACAGUUUUGGAGAGGACUAAGAAUACUGACUUUGACAGGAAUACAGCUUGACAAAAAUAAGUAUACACAAUUUAAAACCAAAGAACACAAACAGUUUUAAUGUUACUAAUAGUGCAUUGCAAGAAACUUUCUACUCAUUCACACAUUCCAAAAUCAAGGGUAAGUCCUUUGCUUAAACACAAACAUGUAGUUGAUUUGCAAUUGAACAUAAGUUUCUUGCAAUGCCCCAUAAUUAUAUUUUGUUCUCAAGCAACUCUGUUAAUGUUAUCCAAUGUGCUGAAGGUUAAGUGUUUAUGUAUGUUCACAAUUUUUUCUCAAAAGUUAUAAUAUAUUUGUCCUUUUAAACGGUA
rnacentral:lncRNA from 1 species